UCCGUAGGUGAACCUGCGGAAGGAUCAUUACCGAGUGAGGGCCCUCUGGGUCCAACCUCCCACCCGUGUUUAUUUUACCUUGUUGCUUCGGCGGGCCCGCCUUAACUGGCCGCCGGGGGGCUUACGCCCCCGGGCCCGCGCCCGCCGAAGACACCCUCGAACUCUGUCUGAAGAUUGUAGUCUGAGUGAAAAUAUAAAUUAUUUAAAACUUUCAACAACGGAUCUCUUGGUUCCGGCAUCGAUGAAGAACGCAGCGAAAUGCGAUACGUAAUGUGAAUUGCAAAUUCAGUGAAUCAUCGAGUCUUUGAACGCACAUUGCGCCCCCUGGUAUUCCGGGGGGCAUGCCUGUCCGAGCGUCAUUUCUGCCCUCAAGCACGGCUUGUGUGUUGGGCCCCGUCCUCCGAUCCCGGGGGACGGGCCCGAAAGGCAGCGGCGGCACCGCGUCCGGUCCUCGAGCGUAUGGGGCUUUGUCACCCGCUCUGUAGGCCCGGCCGGCGCUUGCCGAUCAACCCAAAUUUUUAUCCAGGUUGACCUCGGAUCAGGUAGGGAUACCCGCUGAACUUAAGCAUAUCAAUAAGCGAAGAUCAUAGGGAUACCCGCUGAACUUAAGCAUAUCAAUAAGCGAAGAUCAUUACCGAGUGAGGGCCCUCUGGGUCAACCUCCCACCCGUGUUUAUUUUACCUUGUUGCUUCGGCGGGCCGCCUUAACUGGCGCCGGGGGCUUACGCCCCGGGCCGCG
rnacentral:rRNA from 1 species